rnacentral:rRNA from 1 species
UACGGGGGGGGCAAGCGUUGUUCGGAAUUACUGGGCGUAAAGGCUCGUAGGCGGCCAACUAAGUCAGACGUGAAAUCCCUCGGCUUAACCGGGGAACUGCGUCUGAUACUGGAUGGCUCGAGUUUGGGAGAGGGAUGCGGAAUUCCAGGUGUAGCGGUGAAAUGCGUAGAUAUCUGGAGGAACACCGGUGGCGAAGGCGGCAUCCUGGACCAACACUGACGCUGAGGGAGGCGAAAAGCCAGGGGAGCAAACGGGG